UAACUUUGCACCCGUAUUGAGACUGUCUCAAUUUACAUAAUAAUCAUUUUAAAAAUAUUAGCAUG
rfam:Flavobacterium enshiense DK69 contig4, whole genome shotgun sequence.